rnacentral:piRNA from 1 species
AAGAGCUUAGGAUUCUCCACCAGAGGCG